AAAUAUAAUACCAAAAUAGAUAUAAUAUGAGAAGACUCAAACACACAUAUAUAAUUUCAACAGAUGACGUUUCAAAAUUUAUUUAUCCAUUUUCUCUCUCUAUAAGCGUAGAUAUGAUUGAAGAAGAAAGAUCUACAGGAAAAAGAUCAAUAGAGGAAGAAGAAGAAGAAGUGUUGACCCUCGUAGCAAGCAAAAAAAGAAGAAGGAGAAGCACGGGAAGAAAGAGAUUGUGGAGGGCAGAUCAACGAAAGAGAUCUGAUUGAUAGUGAGUGUUCUUCGGCGUGAAGUUUGUCAUCGAGAUCUGAUGGAGGGCGUUGUAAGGUUUGGUUCGCAAGUUUACAAUGAGAGAGCUUUUGGUGUUUUACAAAGGAAGGGGUAUUUAGUUUCACCACUAAUUUUACACAGGAAGAGAAGAAAUCAGACACAUUCAUGGGGAAAGUCUGCUGUUCAGAAUUAAGUGAAGGAGUUGGUUUGGAUCUCAUGGGACUAUUCAUGGCGCUUGUGAUUGCUCUUGUGCUCCUAACAAUCUGUGUUCCGCCACCUCGCUCUAGGUUCGUCGUGUAUCGCGUCGCUUGAAGGUUCUUUAUCCACCACAAAUUUGUUCUUGACUCUGUUUUGAGAAUCACUGAACUUUUUAUUUUCCUUACAAAAUGUUUGCGAUCAUAUGAUUUAUGUAACGUUUAUUCAGAUAUUUUAUGCCUCUACACCAGUUCAAGUAUUCUAAAAGU